UAAUGUUAUGCAUGCUUGAGCCACACAAAAAAGUUUGAGAUUAAAUGAAGUGGUAGGAACCAGGAAGGAACAGGGACAACCACCGGUGAGUGGAGCAAGUGAACAGCUACCUUUCACGUUGUGCCCGUACAACCAAAUAUAUGUCCAAAGCAGGUGAUCAGAGUGUUUGUAAUAUUUUUGUAUACUUUUUUAUAUUGAGCAUCAUACCCUCAUUAUUUUCUUUCAACGGCAGGGGUGGACAUGCUUACAUUGCAUGCAAUGGGCUGGAACCAUAAAAAAGUAUCUCUCUACAUCAGGCACUUUCCACAAUAUAUGUGAAAACAUCCAGCACGAGACUGCAAGGCUAGCAGAACUAAAAACAAAGCUACAUCGCACAGAUAAAGGAAUGUCACAAUGGCUUUCUGAUGUGAAAGAAUGGGUAGCUCGUGAGACAUCAGAAACAUCUCAUGCCAGUCAAGACACCACACACAGAGAACUUCAGCAGUCAUUUGAGGGGCUUUAUCUUAGUGUGAUGCUGCGCAAGCAAACUCUCUACUGUCAGAAUGACAGCAGCAAGCUUUGCCACCGCCUUCAAAGGAAGCUGGCAGAUGACAAAAGCUCCUUCUUCAGGAGAUACAGAACUACAAUGAUCUUGUACUAGACUCUGCCACAAACAUCAUUGACCUAGCUGUGGAGAGCAGUGUGUCUCAGAUAUGGCCGUGGGACCUUCAUGGCAGUGCAAACAUUUCAGUCAAGAAACGAUUGCAUGACCAAGUGAUGUUGACAAUGUGACUGCAAGAGGAAAGGGGCAUUGUGGUGUUGGAGAUGGCUCAACAAUACACAUGGUUGCAGAGCC